rnacentral:rRNA from 1 species
GAUGAACGCUGGCGGCGUGCUUAACACAUGCAAGUCGAACGGAAAGGCCCAAGCUUGCUUGGGUACUCGAGUGGCGAACGGGUGAGUAACACGUGGGUGAUCUGCCCUGCACUUCGGGAUAAGCCUGGGAAACUGGGUCUAAUACCGGAUAGGACGAUGGUUUGGAUGCCAUUGUGGAAAGUUUUUUCGGUGUGGGAUGAGCUCGCGGCCUAUCAGCUUGUUGGUGGGGUAAUGGCCUACCAAGGCGUCGACGGGUAGCCGGCCUGAGAGGGUGUACGGCCACAUUGGGACUGAGAUACGGCCCAGACUCCUACGGGAGGCAGCAGUGGGGAAUAUUGCACAAUGGGCGAAAGCCUGAUGCAGCGACGCCGCGUGGGGGAUGACGGCCUUCGGGUUGUAAACUCCUUUCGCUAGGGACGAAGCGUUUUUGUGACGGUACCUGGAGAAGAAGCACCGGCUAACUACGUG